CUGAAAGCUACCAGCUGUGACUCCUCUCCAAAACCUGCUUCCCAGCCAAUUCUCAGAGCCAAAAUGGUUGCUGGCUCCCAACCCUCUGGUUUCACCUGGCUUUGCCGAGGAGGAAGCCAGGCUUUAGAGGCCAAGCAAACCGUCCAGGGAUGCAGAGCUGGGAGGUGGCAGAGCCACCAUGGAAACCAGAGUCCAUCUGGUCCUGGAGCCUGUGGUGAGGAAUCCUGGGGGCCGCGUUUGUGUCAAAUGAGACGACAGCUACUUCUGCCGGCUCCCGAGUUUCCCGGGGCAGGGCCUUCAGGGCCCAGGGUGGCCUCUGGGGAGAGUCUGAUGAGGACAGCGAGUGCCUGCUGUGACACCUGGUGGCCGCCGCACUGCAAGGAGCUCCUCUGUGAAGCCUGCCCUGCCUGAUGGUCUGGCAGGAGUUGGAGGUCCCAUCCACAUUCAUGAGGGUGCUUUGGAAU
rnacentral:lncRNA from 1 species